CCUAUAGCGGGCUGCCUACCCCAGAUAUCUACUGUAAGCAAAUUUCAUUCGAGCCUCUACUGUAAACAAAUUUCUUCCGAACUUCUAUUACAGGUAGACUUCAGCCGAGCUUCUUCGUAGCCGGAUCCCAGACGAGCUUCUAUCAUGGGGCAGGAUCCACCGGCCAGGUCGUUACUCCGAACUCCCACGAUAAUCGAUCUUCGACCAAGCUCCUACAAUAAGCGGCCUCCUUUCGGCCUCCCACAAGAACCGGACUCCGUCCGAGCUUCCAUAGCAG
rnacentral:lncRNA from 1 species